rnacentral:lncRNA from 1 species
UUUUUUGCAGCGUAUGUUAGAUCAUUUGCGUUAACUACAGUUUCAAAAGCUCGAGCUAUUAGAAAAGAGCCAGCCAAUUCACUUCUAUGGAUCUCGAUUGUGACUCGAUCCAUCAAGGUCUCUGUAAUGUAGGCAGGAUGCUGGCUUACUUGACAACAGUGUAGGCUUUUUCAAUCUUGCUAUUUAUAGUACUCUGUCUUUUAAAUUUCUAGGUUUUUCAAGUCCUUGCCUUCUCCAUAC